AGCUGGAAGAGAAAGACGCUUGGCGUCUUGGCGUGGGGCUGGGAUUCCCCUCGAGGCCGCGGCCAAGGUACCCACUUGGUCUCUGGAGAUGGGCCGCUGCCACCUGGGGAUCUGUCAUUCCUACUGAAACCAGGCAGCCCAUUUCUACAGCAGCACGUCCCAUCUUUGUCCCCAGGCAUGCAGAGAAUAAACAGCACAGCACUUCUAAUAAUGCUGAGCUUCUCUCAUCAGGGUAUUUCUCAUGCCUCCGUGCAAGAAAUACCGCAGUCUAGGCCCUCUUGGGGUCAGUAUGCAGGGACAGGUGAGUAGACUGUGCAUGAUCAAUCCACCCCACCUUUCCACUCUUCCCUAACUCUUUGGAUUCCUUCCUCCACAUUACACACUAGAAUUUCUGGCACUGCAGCUUCCUAUAUCAUGUGGCGCCAGGUUUUAGUCAGUCAACUCAGGAUAGAGUUAAAAUCAUUCCAGCUGCUAGAGCCGGCACACUGAAUUUGGAAUCUCUCAACCUACACAAACAAGUUUAAUCUAAUCUAAAACUGUAUUCCUUUCUCUCUAGUGUAGCACCCUUACAAUCCAACCCCAAAGGUGUUCCCCAAGAUUAUGUCUCUACAGACUAGCAGAAUCUUUUGGCCUGUGAAUCUUCUCCUCUAGGUUAAGACUUUGCAUUCAUCCCCU
rnacentral:lncRNA from 1 species